rnacentral:rRNA from 1 species
UUAUCAGAUUCUACCACCUCUGUGAACCGUUGACCUCCGGGUUAAUAAUCAAACAUCAGUGUAACGAACGUAAGAGUAUCUUAAUUAAACAAAACUUUUAACAACGGAUCUCUUGGCUCUCGCAUCGAUGAAGAACGCAGCGAAAUGCGAUAAGUAAUGUGAAUUGCAGAAUUCAGUGAAUCAUCGAAUCUUUGAACGCACCUUGCGCCUUUUGGUAUUCCGAAAGGCAUGCCUGUUUCAGUGUCAUGAAAUCUCAAUCUAAUAUGUUUUCUGAACAUGUUAGGCUUGGACUUGGGUGUCUGCCAGUGAUGGCUCACCUCAAAUGACUUAGUGGAACAUCCCACAUCAGUGUUAGACGUAAUAAGUUUCGUCUCUCCUUGUGGUGAUGACUGCUCAGAACCUGCCAUCGCGCAUCUUUUGACUUUGACCUGAAAUCAGGUAGGGCUACCCGCUGAACUUAAGCAUAUCAAUAAGCGGAGGAA